CAACUAUGAAAUAGGUCUAAUUCGGGCAUUUAUAUCCACGUAAAUAGCAAUAUAUUGGUUCAAAUACAUAUUAUUUAUACAAAUAUUAUUACAAAUUGAUAUAAUUACUGAAUUUAAAAUGUAAUAUAUUUUAUGUUACCCUCACUUGAUCCUUGGAUACAUGGAAGAGUAUAUGAAAUACCCAAUUUAGACAGUUUUUGAGGAUGUAUAGCAAACUUAC
rnacentral:lncRNA from 1 species